GACGGACGCUGGCGGCGUGCUUAACACAUGCAAGUCGAACGCGCCUGUCCUCUGGGUUUCUGGGGGGUGGGUGAGUGGCGAACGGGUGAGUAACACGUGAGUAACCUGCCCCCUUCUUCGGGAUAACGGUCUGAAAGGGCUGCUAAUACCGGGUAUUCACUGGUCUCCGCAUGGGGUCUGGUGGAAAGGUUUUUUUCUGGUGGGGGAUGGGCUCGCGGCCUAUCAGCUUGUUGGUGGGGUGAUGGCCCACCAAGGCUUUGACGGGUAGCCGGCCUGAGAGGGUGACCGGUCACAUUGGGACUGAGAUACGGCCCAGACUCCUACGGGAGGCAGCAGUGGGGAAUAUUGCACAAUGGGCGCAAGCCUGAUGCAGCGACGCCGCGUGAGGGAUGGAGGCCUUCGGGUUGUGAACCUCUUUCGCCCGUGGUCAAGCCGCGACGUGGGUCGUGGUGAGGGUAGUGGGUAAAGAAGCGCCGGCUAACUACGUG
rnacentral:rRNA from 1 species